rnacentral:lncRNA from 1 species
UUUAAGGAAUAUGAGGAACUUUGUGUUCCCUAUAGAUCAACAACAUAUGCAGCAAACCUGCAGAUCUUAGAGUUGGAAUACUGUGAUUGUGUAGAUGACAACCAUUUAGCAGAGAUUGUGGCUGUUUGUCGAGGGUCACUGCAUAUUGUGGACUAUUUUAGUGAAGCUAUUAAACCUGUGAUGAUACAUGCUCAAAAAGGCAAAAUUUGCCUCCCUCCACAUUUCAAAAACAGUUAAAUUUUUGAUAAACGAACUACGAAUGUCUUAUUUAUAUAUUGGAAACUCUAAGGCUGUGAUAUCCAUGCUCAAAAUAGAUUUUAUUAUUCAUUUGAACAUAUAUAAGUUUUACAAGUAUAUCAUGAAACUUUGUGAUUAAAGAUUGUAAUGAACUUUCUUUUGCAUCGGUUUUUUUUUUCAUCACAAGUCAAUCAAAUAUAAUGGAAAUCUUUCUAAUCAUGUGUUUAUGUUGUCCAGUUUUGUAGGCAUUUUUUCCAGCUUACAUAGCCAAAUGAGUGUGAGCUUUUAAUCUCAAUUGGUAUACUCAGAAAUUUCUUUUAAAUUUUUGUCAAAAGACUAUAUUGGCCAAUGAACAUGGAAGCCAUGAUUUUAAAAGGACCAAAACUUACGGGUUAUGAUGAACAACUGACAAAGAUAUGAUAAUAUUCAAAGUACAAAAAAAAUGUACAAGAGACCUGAAACUCUUCUGUUUCAUGUUUCUUUUAAAUAAAAGGUAGACUGUAAAAUGAUUUGUACUCAAUAUAUAUUGAGCAGUUUUCUGCACUACAAGGGGGAUAACCGACAAUAUUUUGAUUAGCAUGAAAUACAAUAGGCACUAUGUUGUUAAGUGGAAAACAACACAAAUCAUUCCCAUCUAUGGAGGACAAAUGAAAAAAAUUCAAUUUAUAAUAAAAUUGUCAGGC